ensembl:antisense uncharacterized LOC110322790
GUAGAAGGUGGGAAGGUGUGCGGGGAAUGUAGCUCUAGUGUGUUGUCAUGGUGAUGUAGCUGCCUGUAAGUCACCCCUCACUCAAGCUGUUAUAGCAGUGUUCUUACAUGAAUCUCAUCUCAGACUGAGUUAACCCCAUCAUAUGGAUGAGGAAAAGUCUCAUCUUAAAUUCUAGACUCUACUUCAUUAGGCUGAAGGCAUUGGGUGCUUGCCAAACUCACAUAAGCCUCAAGGGUUGGAAGCGGUAGAAAGUUCGAAGAUAACCUAUACUUGAAGAAAGCAUCACUCCUUCCCUUAAACUACAUAUAUUACAUGGCCCCUCAGAAGGAAGGUCUUCAAAAGAGCGGAGGUGUCACGUGGGUAAAGUGGUCUACACAUUUGACCUGGGAGAACAUUUGCGUGCUUGUGACAGCCCCAGAGUGGUGGAUGAGAACCAGAUUGCUGAUGGGGGCAUCAGAGAGACUAGGGAUGAAAAUCAAGUAACUGUUGGAUGCUCAGUGUUCAGCUGCCUGUGGUCGAAAUGUCCCACAAUCGACUUAAAUGAGGGUGCAAAGUCAAACUCAGUGUUUCAUUCUUCAAACUCUUUUCACUGGUGGCUUCUUCCUUGGAAUAGCACCGCGCAUUUGGCUCCGGAUGCUCAGACUUUCAGUUGUGACCACAAGUACUUCUCUUAGACAUUAAGCUAUGUACCAUUCAGCAGGCUUGUAGUUAAUCCUACAACACAACCCUGAGCCAGUGGCACCAGAAUUAUCAUUAUCACAUCAAGGGAAAGCUGCUGCUCUGUAAAACCAGUAAUGUAGUUAAGGUGUUGGGGACCAUGGGGUUCACAUGCACCCGGGACUUGAAAUGUCAACAGCUCUGUGCAUUUACUGCUUUAGCCUCCUUUUGCCUAAUCAUGUGGACCUUAUUCCUGCAUACCUCAUUUGACAUGUCUUCUUAGAGUCACUUAGUGAAAAGCUGCUACUGGCUCCCUAUGGUCUGAGCGAGUGCACUUCUUUAGGAGAUCGCACCCUUCCAUCUUUGUGGGACCUCUUACCACUUGUGAAUUUCUUCCUCUAUUAUCCCAUCUUUUGAAAUUUUCUUUGCCUCCAUCACAGUCAAGAGGAAGUCAGUAUUUCCUUUCACAAAGCCUCCUACAAGUUCCUUCAUUGGAUAAGGACAUUCUGGAUCUCUUUUGGGAUAACAUGUUCUAAUCUGUGCUGUCGCCAUGUGGGAAUCUUCCUGUCUCCACAGCUGGAGUUCUGGGGGUACAGAUGUGUCCUGCUGUCAUUUCCCUAAGACCCUAGUCCUCAAGGAUUCAGAUCUGCAUAGCUAUUUUCUGGACAGUUGGAAGUUGGGUAGCACAGCGCACCCGAGUCUUGCUUGUAAGUAAAGAAUUAGAUUUCAUUGUUAGGGGAGAAUAAAACUUAAGAGCUGGAGAACGACUGAGAGAUGAACAAAGAGUGGUCAGAGGAGGAGGGUGGGAGGGAGAUGGAUGGAGAUGGAUCCGAGGAGUAGGUGAGACCUGAGUUUGCAGGAAAAGAACACAGGGUGUUCUACAGUGGGAGAGCGGGAAGGCUGCCACUCAUGGAGGGGGAGCUGUUUCUUUGUCUCCAGGCUUUGAGUGGAGAAUAACACUCUCCUGAAAUUGAGCUGCCUGGGUGAGUUCUUACUAUCUAUUCCUCUGCUGCUGGAGUGCAUCUCUGAACUGAUCUCAGUUACAGCGCAUGCUAGCAGGCCUGCAAACUACCUUUUCCAUUUGGAACGGCGUCUGUAUUUUAAGGUUUUACUUUACCGACACAACCAAGGAGGAACAGUGAGAAAUUAUUCUGCUGACUAGAAGUUAGAACUCUGAGAGGAAAUUGUCUCGACAGCAGACUUUCUGAAGGUAAAACUGUUUCUUCAGUUGACUCAUUCCUCCCAAGCUGCUGUAUGAUUUCACGGCCGUUGUCUGAGAAAAAGAAACGGUUGACAAAAGCGCAGACCUCUCAUUGCUUCCUCCCCUGAAAAUCAGAUCCAGAUGCCAAGCUGGCGUUUGGAGCCAGGCAGGUCCCGGAUGUGGUCAUUAUUCUAUGUAGACCCCCUAAAGCACUAUCAGAAAAAGCCCGGGAAUGCAUUUAAAAACUACAUUUGGUUUUAGUGAAAAGUCAGACAUCAAAACAUUUUGAAAUUGUGAAGCACUGACUGGGGGUUUUCAUUUGUUAUAAUCUUCCCGAUACGUAUUACAUGCAAUUUCCCCUUUUAAGAUUAUAAUGCUGCUAAUUCUCUCCGUAUGUGAACAAUUUGUGUUUGACCUUUAACAAAUGUCCUCUAGGCAGAUGACUUGCCAUCCUAGAGCAACAGCACAGCGUCAUUUCACAUGCACGCAAAGACUUGAAAGCCUCAUAAAGAUAAACGAUCCAUGGUACAAGACGCAUCCGCCAGCAGAAGGGCUAUUUCAGCCCUGUAAACGUCAAUGCCCAUACAUUCAGAAACCUCACUGGGUCGCUUUAGUGCUAAACUCAGAGGAACAAAAUGGCAAACACACAUGUUUUAUUUGUUAAGCUGCCAGCUUUGUAUUCUGGGUAAAAGGCAGGUCAGGAAAGGCUAGUCAAAAGCACGUGGGCAAUGUGUAUUUAAAGGCAGUGUCUCCAAUGCAUGGUAUUAGGUGCUACAGGCACAUUUACUAUUGAGCGUCAUGUAUAUUUAAUAGCACAAUGUCUACUUUAGUGUCCUUAAAAGCCUGUAUCCACUUUAUAGUUUCCAUUAUUGAAGAGCCAAUGUUCAGUUCUCUUGUAAUUUUGUAAAGUGCAGGCAACCCACAAGAGCGACUAGAUUUAGCCAGUGACCCCACGGGACCAUGGUAAUUAUUACAAAAUCUUUCAGCUGUCAGGUACAUGUAACAGUAAUUGCAGCUAAUGAGUGCUGCUCUAUUUAUUAAAUGUAAAAUGAAAACCAGUAUUAUUUUAUAUGCAGUACUGAAGCCUAUUAACAUUCACUAUUUUUGUGUGUCACAUUGAAUUAUCCUAUCCUGUAUGAUAUGUAUCCAGAGUAUGUUGCCAUAUAUUUCUAGAACUUUACCAAAAAGUGGUCCAGGAAAUUCUAGCUCUUCAACUAAAAGAUAAAUCAAAAUAAUUAGAACUCAACGUGAUAUUUUGUCGACAUCUAUGUUUAUGUGAACUGCACUGACUUCUGCUUUGAACAAACAAGACCUUUUUCUUAGGCUCCCUUCCCCCUCCACCAGUCUUCACAAGAGUGAUGGAAGCAGUUUCCAGUUGUUUGAAAUGUUCAUCUUGUCUUUUUCCCACAGGUUUUUCCAGUAGAACUUUUGUGAAUAGAGACACACAGCCUGGUUCAUGAUUUUAACACACGAGGACCACUUUCAAUCACUCGAAGUAAACUGCAUAGACAUUUGCAAGCGCAAAGAGAGUGGAAUUUUUGAAAGUAUAGGACGAGACAGUAUCACUGUUAGGAUUCCAGAGGCAUCUGCUGCCAAUAACUAUGCUCUGAUCAUCCCGUUGUCCAAUGUAAACGAUGACAAUUAGUUUAUACCUCUGAAUCACUAGUUCCUUGACCUGGGUCUUAAUAACCUAGAAAUUGAUUAAAAAAGUGGGGGAGAGUUAGUCACAUUAAAUUGC